AAGAAAAAGAAGCACUUUUUACAUAUAAGUCAGCAUUUUUUCUCAUAAUGGUCUGCUUUUUUUCAUGUUUUAGCGCUAAUAAGCAUCGAAAGCACAAGCGUUUGGCCAAUACAAAUCACUAUAGAGGCCUUAGACAUGAUGAGGUUAGCGCAGUUCUUCAAGUGACUGAAUGGAUUAAGCAAGCAGAAACUAAGAAACCCAUUUCAGAAUCAAAGGAGAAGCUUGAGGAGCCAA